CGUAGGCGUAGCGUUAUCCGGAAUUACUGGGCGUAAAGGUAGCGUAGGUGGUUUCUUAAGUCAGAGGUGAAGGCUACGGCUCAACCGUAGUAAGCCUUUGAAACUGGGAAACUUGAGUGCAGGAGAGGAGAGUGGAAUUCCUAGUGUAGCGGUGAAAUGCGUAGAUAUUAGGAGGAACACCAGUUGCGAAGGCGGCUCUCUGGGACUGUAACUGACACUGAGGCACGAAAGCGUGGGAGCAAACAGGAUU
rnacentral:rRNA from 1 species